rnacentral:rRNA from 1 species
CAAUAGUGUAUAUUAAAGUUGUUGCAGUUAAAAAGCUCGUAGUUGGAUUUCAAGAAACGCAUCUGGGUCACCAGUAUGCUUUCUACCAGUCUCUGACUGUUACUGUGAGAAAAUUAGAGUGUUUCAAGCAGGCAAUUGCAGGAAUACAUUAGCAUGGAAUAACGAAUGGGUCUACAAUUUGGUUGAUUGUAGAUUGCGAUUAAUAGGGACAGUUGGGGGCGAUUAGUAUUUAAUUUGUCAGAGGUGAAAUUACUUGGAUUAGUUUAAAAGAACUAACGUAUGCGAAAGACAUUUGUCCAAGGAAUGUUUUUCUAUUAAAUUACAAGAAACGAAAAGAAUUGGGGAGUCGAAGAAU